rnacentral:rRNA from 1 species
CAGCCGCCGCGGUAAUACGUAGGGUGCGAGCGUUAAUCGGAAUUACUGGGCGUAAAGCGUGCGCAGGCGGUUCGUUAAGACAGAUGUGAAAUCCCCGGGCUUAACCUGGGAACUGCAUUUGUGACUGGCAAGCUAGAGUAUGGCAGAGGGGGGUGGAAUUCCGCGUGUAGCAGUGAAAUGCGUAGAUAUGCGGAGGAACACCGAUGGCGAAGGCAGCCCCCUGGGCCAAUACUGACGCUCAUGCACGAAAGCGUGGGGAGCAAACAGGAUUAGAUACCCCUGUAGUCCCUGUCUCUUAUAC